UGGCUACCUUGCGGUAACUUCACAAAAUAACAGCAUAUUGUUUACAACUUGCUGAUUUGUUACAAGUCUGUUGCGAACACAUUUUGUUCGUAAGAUGUGAGAUUUUUAAAUGUAUGUUUGUGCCAACCUGAUACUCAGGGUUUUCACUUCCGCUAUCCCCCCAAAGCGAGUUUGGGGGGAUAGCGGAAGUGAAAACCCUGACUAUCAGGUUGACUUUGUGC